GGAAUAUUUUAGUGCCUGGGUAGCCAGGGUCUGUAAUUUCAAGUCAGUGAUCUGGCAAUGAUCAGCAAUCAAACAAAGCAAAUUCCUGUACGAUAUUACAUGCUUCAAUGACAUUUUGGUUUCUGACCAAAAAGCAGUGAGCUUUCAGUAAUAAAAGAAUCAUUCUGUGGACUGUGGUCAUACUGUCACUUUUGCAGCUAUUGGCACAGGUUAACACUUCUUAAUAUAUGUGUAAUAAUGCAAGACGUAGCCCUGUAAUUUUUGCACUGUAAUUAAAAUACUCAAUGUAAUUCAACCACACUUAUAGAGAGCACUUGAUACCUGUGGUGUCCCCUUCAUAUCUUUUAAAAGUCAUCAUGAUUUGUUUAUGACUCAGGAAUAACUAAGGGAUCAUAAGGGAUCCUGCUUGAGGUAUUACCGCAGUGACUAGCAGUAGUGGGCAGCUGUUUUAUUCUUACUAACCAGGAGCAGAGAACACUGUGGCUGGGCUGAUACUUCUGCAUAAGCUUUACUUCAUGCAAGUAAAGGCAACAAUUUUAUUUAAAGAACAAAUGUGAAAUGAAUGUAACAGCAGUUGGGAUAUGAUUCUUUUCUAAAUUCUGAUAGUCGGUUCUAAAUUACCAACAGAAGUUAGGAAUACACCUGUGAAUGUCUACUGGAAAUGCCUGCAAAGUACCUAAGUUUCAUAUUUCCUAAAAUUCAGUGAAAUUAAAAGUUCAUUGGUAGUGCCACUAAUACAAUUUAUCUUUCAAUGACUAUAACGUCUUUAUAAAUGCAGUGGUAUCAAUUAAGAAAAUGAGCAAUCAAUCUCAUUUUUCAGAAUUUUCUUUCAAAGAGAUGUGCUUUAAAGGAACAUAUUUUACUGCAUGUAUAUAUGUUUAAAAUAUGAUGAUAAAUUUCUUUGAUAAAAAGAAGCAUACUUUAAAAAGUUACUUAAGCUUUCUUUUGCCCUUUACAGGAAAAAAAAAUGCAACACCUAUGUAUAACUUGAAAACAUAUGUAAUCGGAUUGUUUCGGCAUCACAUCUUAUUUUUGGUUUACUUUUUAUUAAUAAGAAAUUGUUGUGGUUGUUUUAGUUCUUGUGUUUGAUUCUUGUAUUUGACGCAGUGUUUUAACUUUCUGUAGCACUCAGUCAUAAUUAAAAUGAACCCUAGUGGUAGCAUAAUUACAUGAUGGAAGAAAAUGACUUAAUCUACUUCUAAAAGUGGCUUUAUCAAGUAUGUUUGAUCAUUUGAAUUUCAUAAGGAUAAAUCAUGAAUUUUAAUAAUUGAAGUAACCAAAUUAACUAAAUGAUACAAUGUAAUUAGGGAUGCAAUACAUGUUGUUAUAUUACAAUUUGAUUAAAUACAUCUCAGAAGACUCCUUUCUAAAAACUGACUUCUUGUAAUAUAAUUGCCUACAAAUUAACUACUUCUUUCAUAGUUUCACUGUGGGUCAUUUGAGUUAGUUUGUUUAAAAUAAAUAUGCAGGAAUUUUGUGUUCUAAAACUUUGUAAAUUUUUGGAAAAAGAUAAAAGAGGCAAUAUGAAAGUGGAGACAAGUGAUAUUACAGUAGAAUCAUUCAGAAUGAUUACACAGUACAGAAUCUGCAUUUUUGGGAAAGGUUAGGAAAAAGAAACAAAGCAUGGACCUUCGUGGACCAUCUCAAGACAUUUGUAGGCUAGUGGUGAUCCUAGCUUCCUUGAAAAGCUCUCUUGCAGCUAAAGUACCAAAUUUCUUCUUCUUCCUCUUCUUUUUUUUUUUUUUUUUUUUUUUUUAAGCUAAAAGAAACAUUGUUUUGCAGUCCUUUCUCUCCACUGCAUAUUGGGAUGCAAAUAUUUCACAGUAUAAGUCUACUGAGAUAGAAGAAUCUUCUGUCAGUCUACUACCAUUGUUCACAUUUCAGAGUACAGGGUCAUGAGGCAAGAUAAGACAUCCUAGCCAUGCAGAAGGGCUUAGUUAGGGAGCUCUAUAGUGGCUCUUUGUACUGCUUUAUGGAGUGAGUUCAUCCAGAUUUGCCAUUGCAUUCAGAUGCUGGAAUAAAUUAUCAUAGUGGCACUGAAGCAAAUGGCUCUUCAUAGUGUUACAGCAGCUGAUAUUGAACAUUUGGAUUUUUUUUUUUUUAUGCUUCGCUUGUUAGGAACUGUCCUGAUCACUAAGCUAGAGCGUGCUGUCGUGUGUGUGACUUAGUACCUUCUGUUCCAUGACAAUGUAGGGACAGGGUUCUGCUCCGUGGAGGUAACUCAGCUACCAGGUUAGGAAGGUAUUGUUUGUUAUUUUUUUCUGUUUUUCUCUCAGACUGAGUAAUAUACCAUGAAACAUAAAUAUCAACAAGAGAGCUUGGAGUCACAUCACAGUGACUGCUACUGUGGGAAUGGCACUCUGAGAGGGUGGGAAAUAUGUAUACUGAUCCUUUCAGGAAGAAAAGAGAAACAAAAACGAAUCCAUAUGUGAAUUCAUAAGUGAUUUACUAAUAGCCCAUCUUCAACCACAAAGAAAUGUUCUAGCUUUUUUUGUGAUAGUUGCUCCAUUUUUUUAAGUAGAAAUUAAUAAAUUUAGGUGGAUUUAGUUAAUGAUUUUGAUGUAAAAUACUGUCUGUUUCUAAGCAAAAGUCCUAAUUGAAAACCACUGUUGAGUACUGAUUGCUUCUAUAUACGUUACCGCUAAGCUAUAUGCAGUUACUCACUAAUAGAACAGACUCUUCUGUUGAAGAUGGAAUGAAGGAACUGGGUGAAAGUAACACCUUAUGCUGUUUGGCCAAAGAGUAAUUUUUUUCAGUUUAUUUUAUAUUCUGUGCUGUACCAGGCAUCAUUAUACAAAAGAUGACAUGCUCACUGUUCACAGCAGCUGCAAUACAUUAGCCUAAUGGCUUGGAAUUAUGGGUUGCCCUAAGAAUUGUCUAUUUUGUGCAAAAUCCAAAUGUAAAUCCUACUGUGGAAAAUCUCGAUACUAUUAAAUGUGAUAAAAUGCAAUAUCUUUGGAAAGACAAACAAACUAACUAACAAAAAAACACUAGACUGAUAAUAGGCAAAAACUAAAGAAAUUAGGCAAAAAGUUCAAAAACUGUAGCUGAUCAAAGGAAGAAUGUGAUUGGAUAAAAAUAACAGUUACAUUUUAUUAAAGGUUUGACAUUUCUUAAAAGACUUUUGACUUCAUGACAUAAUUCAGGAGACAGGAAUGCAGAAAGUACUAACUGCAUACUGGGAAAACUUCUUCAUAUGUUUAAGUGGCAAUGUUUAGUAUCAGUUCAAAACCCCUUGAACUAUCUUUUACAAUCUUGGAUGUUAGCAAAACAUGCUGCAAGCAGAUACUUAGCUGAAAGUAGUAGGGCAUGCUAAAAACUUAACUGAUAUUGACAAAGCAAUUCUAUUUGCUCUGAAACUUUCUGGAUAUCAGUGUGGAGAACUGUCUGUACUGCUUUGCAUUACGUAGUAUGGGUAUGGUGGAAACAAAACUAGAAACAAAAAGGUUGCCAACUUUCUUACAAAAUGGCUGUGCUGUACUUUGGGGGAUAAGGUACAACCACAGUUAAUUUGCAUAUAUGUGCUAAGCAAAUGUCUGGCUCUGAGGUGUAGAUGAAGAAGAAUCACAGAUUGUGUACAUCACUGUCAUCAUCUGGAAAGUUAUAAGGCAACUCAAUGUUCUAAUUCACAUCCUACUUCCCAGUAAAAGUAAUUAAAAUAUUCAAAAUAUUACAUACAAUCUUGCUUUCAUAAGCUGUUGGGUUUCAAGGAAAGAAAAGAACACUGAAAUGACUCUGAUUGAUCUUAACCUGUGUCUUUACUCAGUGAUUUAUACAUAUAAAAUAUCCUAUCUAGCCUGACAGACAAGAAAUAUUUAAAAUGAAAGAGAAUUCACUAUGUUCCUGAGUAGGUUGUUGGUUUUUUAAGAAAAAAAAAAAUCAAUCCAUUUCCACAAUGAAUUUUGCUAGCUUUGAUUUCCAGCUGCUGGAAUCUAUCACAAUGUUGUUCAACAGAUUAGAGAACUUUUGUGUCUACUAUUGUUCAGUGUUAAUACAUAUGAUGAAAUCUUGUCUCCACUGCUGCCAGUAGGAAUUUUACCCUUCACUUCAGCAAAACACGGAAGAUUGACAUAUACUGACUAGGACUGUACUGAUUUGAAAGCGUUGUCAUGACUCUCUGUUCUGUUUAAAUUACAUCCUUAUGGCUGCUGCGCAGGUGGUCAUACAGACUCACUUAUGAGCAUUUCUCUGGAGAACUGCAUGUUUCCAAGUAAUGCUUUGUUGUAUGUGAGAGGCAGCUCUGGAGCUUCUUUUAAUGAGGUUGAAGGUCUCUUUUGGUUCCCAUUAUAAGAUGUUUUUUGCACAUGUUGGUUUUGUAUGUAGCUUUUGUUCCGAGCCUGGUCUUAUAAUUAAUCUUUUCUGAGUCUUCCAUUCUACUGACUACAAAUUUUCACUGUUCAUCCAUAUUCCAAAUAUUUCUUUUGGUCCUGAAGACAUUAUUUUAUUUUUUAUUUUAUGAGACUCUAAGUACUUAUUCUUAAAAUAUUCUGCUUAGGAUUUAUGUGUUUCAGAAAUAUCUCCAAACUUAAAUGUUACUCAUAUAUUUCUGGUUUGAGUGGUUCUAAGUUAAAAUUUUCUCUGAGAGAAGUUUAAUAAUUAAUUUGGAAAUUAAAUUUUAGACAACAAUAACCAAAUCCUUUUUUUUUUUUUUUUUUUAAGUCAAGUUUAUUAUUUGGUUCAUUUUUAUAUUCCUUUACAGCAGUGGAAUUGAAGAAGUUUUGAUUGUUUUUUUGGUUUAGUUACUCUAUUGAUGAGUUCCUCAUCAAAAGCUUUUGACAUAUGCCAAUUUAGUUUUCAUCUGCAGUUUUCCCAUGUUGAAAUGUUCAUUCUCUCACUUCUUUUUAUUUGUGUUGUGAUAAAUUACAGUAUCUGCCUGUUUACCAUACUGUUCCUGGAGAAGAUCAGCUGUAGUUGGUUGACUUUUGCAGAUAAGAGCAAUGAUGAAACAGCAAGACUUCAGCCUUGGAAUAAUGCAUAACAGUUUUCUGUAUAUUUAGCUAUGGUAAUAUUCUAAUUGAGCGCCAUCUGUUCUGACUGAUUGAAUUGCAGACAUAUUUGUUGCCUUUAAAAACUUGUGUAGAUAGGUGACUUAUAAACAGCAACAGAUAAAUAUAUGGCCUUAUAGACUUAGCUUAACUCAAGUUCCCUCUCUGGUAUUUUUGUAUGAUAGUAGCUGAGAAUGUUAUUGAUACAAAUAACAGCAAAUCCUAUAUAACAACUAAGUCUUCUUUGUGACAGCUUGAGGAUGGAAGAAAUGUUGUAGAGGUCCUGAGCUCUGAAAUGUCUUGAGCUUUGACAUGUUUAAAAGCAACUAAGGAAAGCAGGGCAUUUCUGAAAAUGCUACAUCAAGACCCAUAGGAAAAUUACACCUGGAAAGCAAGGAACAAUGGCUUGUCAUCAAAAGGAGGGAAAUACUGACUGUCCUGGGCCAGAAGCUGUUACUGGAGCCAGACUGAAAAACAGCAGCUAUUCCAACUGCUGCAAAAGGGAAGAACAAGGGUGCUCUUGUACUGCCAAACAAAUAUUGUAAGGAACUGAACCCAGUGUCGUCCUGUUUGCUGCCUGCCAAGUGUGGCCACCUGGAGGACAAGAAAGAUGCUAGGUAAUAUACCCAGCGAUGGCUGUGGCCAGAAUCUUCAACAUGAGAAGGGAAAAGAUGUUGUGCAGCACAGAAGAAAUUAAUGAAUGAAGAAAGCUGAACUUAGAAAGGAAAUAUAAUUGCACAACACCAGGAGGAUAUUUCUGAAUUAGCAAGUUAAAUAACAGAUACUUCUAUAUUUUGAUGUCUUACCUUCAUUCAACAAAAAUCCAUCACUUUCGAUAUGAGAUUCUUUGGUCCUGCUACAUGAAGUGUAGACACAAAAAUUGUAACUAUGAAGGAGGAAAAUGGCUAAAAAGUAUUUUCAGGCUGAAAGAAGCAGUUCAAGUGUGGCAUGAAAAUAGGACCAUGAAAUGAAGAAGAAAAAUGAUAAAAAGAAGAUGAAGAUUCUGACUGCUUAAAAAAAAAAAAAAAAGGAAGAAAUGCUCAACUUUGGUGUAAUUUCUGGGUGUCCAAACCUUUGGCUUCCCUGGGCCACACUGAGUGAACAGGAAUUGUCUUGGGCCACACACACAGAGGUUGCCCUGAAAGUAAUACCUCCUACUUAUUUCCAUGGAAAUUACAACAAAGAACACAAUAACACUGUUUCACAGAGCAAAUUCACAGCUACAGAAAAAUGUUUUUCAAUAUAGUUAACACCAUUAGCUAUGUAUUUUUGCCAGUGAUGAACGAGGGCCUGCAUAUCAUGCUUGACUAAAUCUGCAACAGUGGAGGUGACCCAAAGUCACUGUCGCCACUGCUGAAAUGCAUGACCCACUGCCUCAGUGUUCUCCAAUUCACUGUUUAGUCUCCAGAAACUAUCAGCAAGCAUCAAUGAAUGUCAGUGGAUGCCAUUUUCUUCUGCAUGGAGGAAUUUAAUUACACACCUUUGCUUCAUACUCACUUCCAUGCCAAAUGCCAUUUUGUCAGAUUGCCACUCUGUGUCAUCUGUUGCACAGCAACAAAAUUUAACAGAAUAUUGGUGGGAAGGUUCAACCUCUACUGCCAUACCACCAAUAUACACCACUGAUGUCACUUGUCAACAGAAGAAAAUAGGAGGCAUUACUUUUGGAGCACCCCUCAUAAAAUAUAUAUUUCAUGUCUAUAAGUAACAAAAUUUAUUUUAAUAGUUAAUCUUUUUAUUAAAUAAAAAAUAAACAUGAGAGCAACAAAAAUAUAAAACUAGUGGGAUAUUUGACUUUGUUUUUGUGAAACGAAUGCCUCAGGCUGGCUUGAUGGCAGUGGCUGCAAUUCUUUGUGAGCUCUCAAGGUAAACAUUUUUAAUGAAAUUUUACUUCUCCUUCCUAUCCUUGAAAUAGUUGUUCACAAAUAUGCACAUUGACAAAAAGCAAUGAUGUGAAUAAGGUGUGAUUAAGAGGUGAGGAAUGUUUUUCUCUGGUAAGCUAAGGCUAAUAAAAGUAAAGUGACAUGGUCAGGUUUUUGAGUUGCAAAUACACCAAAUAGUGAUGCUUGUUUUGGUGAUCUUGAAACCUGUUCUCAAAUUCCUUUAUCAAAAGGAAAAGUACAGCAGCACAUUUUUUGCUGUUCACAGGACUGUGUUUAGCCAGACUCAAAAUGCAUACAUUUAUUUGCUACAACUCUUAGCACUGCACUGUGCCCUCCCUGUGUAUUGGUUGCAGCUCAGGCAGUGUUAAUAGUGCACAAAUGUUUGGUUGUUGCUGAGCAGUGGGUGCACUCUGGGGCUGGGCAGAGCUGCAGUGGGGGACAGAUGGCACAUGUCAGGGGCGAGGCUGCAUUGCCAACUGCACCAGGCCACGUGUGGCCCAUGGGUUGAACAUGCCUAGUCUGAUGUAAUCUAGAUCUAAAUGCCUGUGGUCUAAAGCAAAAACAAAAUAUCAAAACCUCAGAAUUUCGCAUGAAUGGAAAUGUCAUUUUCCAGCCAUCUUUUUCAGUAGAUCUGCAAAAGCACACCCUUAAAUUCCCCAAAGAUUGCUGCCGCUGCUGAGAUGACAUCAGCAUUUUUUCUUAAAGAAGAAAAUACCAUGCCAUUAAUCUGAGACAAUCCUUUGUCAAAAGUGAACGCUGGAAUACUUACAGUUCUGAACUUGUCCUGAAAUAGCUUUGUAUCACUAGUGCCAAUACUUGACUCAUUUCAUCCUUUUUAAAACACACCUGUAAAAAUAAUGCUUAAUUCCCAAGUAUGUGAUUUUAGAAUACACAUUAUUCCAAACAAGCAGCUGUUAAGAACUUAUCUUUACUUCCUUACUUUACUUAGUGUUUUUUAAUGUACUGGUCUUGUUCUUAGGCUUUUUUUGUCCAGAAAGAUUGGUAUCAAGGAAAUCUCUAUAUUGUUCUUUAUCUUAUAUAGGACCAAUAUGGGAUCUAGUUACAUUUUAAACUGUUAUCUAAUGCAAAGUUUACCUGCUGUGAAAAUAAAGCCCUUUUCUGAUGUAGGUUUUGUAGUCAGAGAUUACCUUCAUUGAAAGCUAAGAUGUCUUGUUUCAGAAAUUUGCUUUCAUUCUCCAUUAGUUACAAACAGCAAAUUGACAAGAGCAUUUAUUUUACUUUAUUUAUUUCAUUUUCUCUUAUUUUAGUAACUAAACAGUGUCCAAAUGCUUAUUGUAAUUAUUUUUAAAUACUGAGUUGUAUUUUUUUUGCACCUUUUCCAACAUUGUGUUUAAUGUGAAAUUUUCUUACAUACGUCACUGGUGAACAGUUUAGGAGAAAUAUCUUUAGUAUUCUUCACUUUUCUAGCUAGAAACCGUAGUGACAAGCCAUAAAUGCUUUAGUCUCUGCUGGGGAUUUAUUAACACUGUGAAGGAAUCUGGCAGUCUUGUUAGGAGCUACACAUACCUCCGAAAAAAAACCUGCUCCUUUGAAAUGAAAGUUUUGGUUGUUUCCCUUAAGGCAGCUUGAAGUUUGUCAGGUUUCUACAAAUCUUUCUGUUGGUGUUUUAUUUUUAUUUUUUUAAUGGGAAAGAACAGCUGUUAUUUUUCAAGAGUUUCAAGAUCUUCAUGCGCACAAUUAAGCAUGCAAAGUGGAACCAAAUUCUUUGUUAAGUAAAGUAAAAUGUGUGUAUUUCACAUUAAGCAUUGAAAUAAACAUGGAAAUAAAGCUAGCAUCUUUUCUGCAGAAAAAAAAAUAAGUCAUGCUAGAAAGCAUUUUAGGUUUAUUGAAGCUCAAGGCAAUGAAAUCAUGUAUAUUAAUGCUGUUCUAAGGGAAGAGAAUAAGAUUGUAUGAAGAAGUGAAUGAUUAUAAUAUAACAGGAUUUUUUUUUUUUUUUUUUUUUUUUACCACAAGAUCUGUUAGGAUCUGUUAUUCAUUGUCUGUCAGGUCUGCAUUUCACUCUGUUUUUCCUCCUAGCCUUUAAAUUCUUGAUGCACAGUUUGUUUCUGUUGUCCAUCCCUUUCACACAUGAUGUGUCUUAAAGUUGUUGGUUCUCUUUCAAGUCACACUGUUUUCUUGAGUAAAUAGUAACAUCUCACUGGGUAAGUGUCCUCUUCAUGGGGAAUAGGUGUAUCAUCCAUGCUUCUCGGCAUGGCCUCUUGUUUGUCAUGGAAAUACGCUCUGCUCAUUGCUAUGUCAGUAACUUUUUCUUUGAUAUUCUUUUUUUUCUUUUUCUUUUUCUUUUUCUUUUUUUCUGUGCAUUUUGCUUUCUGAUUUGUUCUUGCUGACGGACUGAAAGUACUUGUAUAAAAUUUUAUUUAAUCAUUUGUCAUAUUCGGAAAGUCAGGACUCCACAACAUAAAGCAAGAUUGAGGAAACAUCCUCCAUCAGUCUUUCUUUGCAGUUUUCCUUAAUUCCAUCCAACAGAUCAGGUAGUUGACCUUCUGUCUAUGCAUCUUUCCUUAAAUACUUAAGUUCAUUUAGGUAUUCAUAUUUAUUUCUGUCAUUUUUCUCUCAUGUUAUUUAGAAAAAAUGCUUGGAUUUCACUCCUCAGUUAAUAAUGAUGCUUGUCAUCAUUCUGAGGUUUUAUGUGCAAUCUUUAACUGGUAUCAAGCUGUGUAACAGAAUCUCGGUUCUACAGUUUACAGCAUACUCAGAGAUUGCUAUACCCAAAAGCAAUUCAAAGAGCAGAAGAAACUUGAAUUACUGUGGGAAUACAAGAAAGGCUAUUCAGAGCAGAAGCUGUGUAGCAAGAUAAAUGGCGUGAGAAAGCAAUGCUGAGAACCAAGGACAUUUCCACAAGAAGAGAAAAAUGAAGUCAAGUAAGCUGCAUGAUGGCUACAUGAUAACAACCAUGAUUGGAGGAAGGGCGCAUGGCUAGGAAUGACUCAUGACUCUUAUUGGAUAAGUGCCUGCAUGCACGGUUAAGGAGUGCUUACGAAAUGUUUUGUUGACAUUUAGAGGGAGGUGGGAAAAUUACUAGAGAAAACUUGUGAAAGUAUUUAAGGGAUGUUAGAACCUGCAAUAAAUGAUUUGAAUCAUUCACAUCUGAGUCCGUGCCUCAGACAUUGCAAAUUACCACCUUUGCACAUUGCUUGAAACUUGAGUUUCCCAGUAACACUGAGAGGCUGUCUUCCCUGGAGAUCAGUACAGCUCUAAGGCCUUUCUUUGUAUGUUGUGUUUCUUAGCAGGGACACAAUGAAGCUGUUUAAAUGAUCAUACAAAUAAGUACAACAAUUCUCCUUUUGGAAAGCUCUCAAGAAACACAGGUCUUCUUUCAUAUUGUGUUAGCAAUUAAGAGAUUGUGCUAAGUUUUGAUUUCUCUGAAAACAAUGAGUGCAAUUGAAAGAAACUUACCAGUCAGAAGCUUGACAGUUGGAUUGCCCGAUGCUGUCUUCCUCUAAUCUGGCAUCUUUCUGAUUUCUCUCUCUGAAACCCAGUUGAAUGGAUCUCGUCUAUUGUGUGGCAAAAUAUUGAAUUCUUAGAGGAGUAUCUAACACUUAGAAGUGGACGUAUCUCUUGGCUUUUACUGAAGAAAAAUUGAAAUUUCCCCUGUGCAACAUGGAUUUUUUGAGUAAAACUGAUUUUUUUCUAAUGUAAAUACAUACUGAUUGGAAAGCUCAAUUAUCUAUAUGUACAUAUUUACUGAAUGAAAGAAACCUCUCUCCCAAAAUAGACAACAAUAGGAACAUUUUUAUUUAUAAAGACAGAAUAUAAUGAUUUUGGCUGUUAUUAUGUACAGUGAUACACAUUUGGUAACCUUGAAAAAUGAAUAUAUUGUUCUUGAGCUACUGCUAAUGUGUUAAGAUGCUUGCAGCAGUUAGAGACAUGUUUGCUGUACAAAUGGCAAGGGCUUGUAUAAGUUUGUUUCGUAAUGUGUUGCUAUCUUUCACUAACAUGUAUGUAAUACAAAGGAAUUCUAGGUGGGAAUUCUAUCUGUACAGAGAUUGCACAGCAUCAUUUCAUUUGCAUCAAUUUAUGUCAUGCUCUUUUGAAAAAACACUACCUUCUUAUCUACAAAUAGAGGUAGAGGUUUGCUUAGUACCUGAUUUCUUGUUCAGUUUCUUCAAGAAGAGACAGUUAAUUUUGAAUAGUGUCAUCUUUUCAAAAAGAGAACAAAGUAUGAAUUAAAAAUACUAUGUGAAGUAAUACAAACUUUCAAGGUAAAAAACAAAACAAAACAAAAAUGACAACAACAACAACAACAAAAGCAAGCAAGCAAGUAUACAGCUUCUUGCCCUUGCAAAGUGGGAGCCAUCAUUUUAGAAUUCUUCAAAUCAUGUCAUCAUUUCCUAUAAUAUCACAUAAUGGCCAGCUGGCACACUGAAAUAAUGAAAUGUUGACUCUACUGAAUAUUAAGAGUGUUAUUCUUAUUAUGAAGGCCAUUGUUAGUGCAUAUAGAAGCUCUUAAAGAUGCAAAUCUUUGUUACUUUUCAACAGCCUGCUUUAGAAAAAAGAAAUUCAAUGGAAUGUAGCACAGCCUUGUUGUUAUAAUAUAUCUUGUAAUACAUACUUUUUGUUACAUCAAAAGCUUCUCAGAUGGUCAAAGACAAAAGACAUAAUUGAAUUACAUAUUUAAUUUGUUUUAACGAGACACCUGUAACUGGGACACUUUAAGGUACGAAACAUAAAUCUUGUGUACAUAGAGCAGAAGAUUGUUUUCUAACAAGAAGUCAAAAGUAGCAGGUUGGGAACCAUUUUUCUCUUUUUUACUUAAAUAUAGCUAAUAUCAAACAUUAACAAUUACUUCUAAUAAGAAGCACUGUAAAGUUAUGAUUGGAAUAAAAUGGCAUUUGUUUUUAAUAAUGCAUAUGAUAUAGUAUGAUAUUAAGGUUGGAAGUAAUUCAACGCACAGAUUAUUUUACUUUUACAGUCAAAGAGUACAUCCUUCUCUCUCCAAUCUUUCCACACUACGUGGCUCAAAGGAAAUCAUACAGGUAUUUCAUAGCUCUUAAUGUUUAAAUCCCAGUUCAUGCACACGGUUAUUCUUGUGAAUCUAUGGAUUUAUCCAUAUCUAUGAAAUUAAACAAAUGCUUUAGGCUUUGUUGGAAGGGAAUGCAUAAAUUUUUACUAUCAAAAAUGGAAAUUGAUUGAAGUUUGUAGAGAAAAACAGUUUUUUGUUUAUUUUUGACUAAACUAUGUGUUGGUCCUAUGAAUGUGUCUCACUAAUAAUUUGAACAUCACAUCACAAAAAUACUACAACUUUUUAAAAGAAAAAACAAAGCACAUCAAGCACACAAACAGAUCUGUAAGUCACAUCUCAGUUACAGAAGUUUUGCAUGUGCUUCUUUCAUUCUUACUUUGUGAACACCUCAGGACAAUUUACAUACAAAUUUCUUAAUAUGUUGUUUUAAAGAGUAAGAAAAUGAAGUUGAAAUUCUCCUUUAAUUAUUGCCCUCAGCUGACUGGGGCUAAAGUGGGACUAGUGUCCAAACAAUAACUUAUUAUUUUUUGUGUGCUCUAUACCAGCCACUGCCUGACGUUCAGACUACUGCUUUGCAGCAGAAAGAAUAACGAGUUAGAAAGACAAGGGCAGAAGGUAGAGGGAGAGGGAUAUUGGGGUAGAGCUGGCAGAGAAGCUAGAAAGAGUAGAUGGAGAGCAGAGGAGACUUGCUGGGAGGAGUUGGUGGGAAUCCAGGUCACUGAAGGAUUUAGGGGAUAUAAACAAAUCUAGAGAACCAAAAGUGGAUUCUGUAUAUGUCUCUGGGACUGAAUGAGCAAGAAAAUGAUUGGCAUUAGGAAAAAGUGGCUUGAUAGUAUGGCUGGGACUGGCAGGGUGAAUAGAACCAGCAUAGACAAGGGCAAAGGCAGGGCAGAAAUUUUGUGCGUGGAGACUAUGCACUGUCAGAGCUUAUUUGGAAGCCCAGAUCCAUAAGUCUUAAUAGCCUUGUUUUGAGCAAUCCUGAUGCUGUGAUGGUUUCCAACAGGAGUAAAGCUAAAGGAGCCCAAUUUUUUAAAGUCUUAUAGGGGGAAUAAGCAGUUUCCUGUAGCUAUAGCAAAGGCUUUAUUUCUAGAGCAAACUAGUAAGAAAAAGGAAAUGGUAUAUCAUCCUGAAAGUAAACUGUAAAAUGUAUAUCGUAUUGCUGCUGAAUGUUGCCAUAACAGCCUUCAUUUCAUCAUGUAAUAACUUCUUUUAGCAUACUCUCUUGGAUUAAUUCCUUUUAAAACUUUGCGUUUGAAAAUAUUGAAUGUAGUUGCGCCCAGUUUUCUCUCCUUGGUUUCUUCAUCUCCUUCUCAAGAUAAAAUUACAGCAAACUCUGUGACUCUGUGCCAUGCUGAAAGCUACAUGAACAUUUAAUGACUAUAUUCUCAUCCAGACAUCUAAUGGACUGAAUUUUUUUUUUUUUUUUUGCUCAGGAUCACACAGGAUGUCUUUGGCAGAAUUUUAUUAGCUAGUUGCUAUGCCAUUUUGUCUUUUUCUCUGAAGUCAGAAAUAGGUCCUCCUUCUAUGAUUAUUUUAUUCCAUCAGCAAAUUCUAUUCUGAAUUAGAAUUAUUUUGUUCUAUUGUUCCAGAAUUGUUCUAUUCUGUUCUAGAAUUGUUCUAUUCUGAACAAUUAUUCCUCUUGAGACAGCGGAAAGUGAGCCUCAAUAUAUGGUGAACCCAUGGUGUUUGGAAAUGUUUAAUUUCUUCACUUCAGUUCACAAUCACUCUAGGGAAUUUCUGAGAAGGACCAAUAACUAUUUAGCAUCUAGAACUCAAAAACUUGCAGCAAACUUCUACUGCUAAAAUGGCUAGUGACCAUAAGAAUGAAUGUAUGGUCUACUGAGAGCAGCAGGCACUUCUUUCAUUAGCCUGAUAGAAAAGUAUUUCAUAAAUAUAUAGUGCUCUGCAGUUGAUGGAGUCUUCACAAAAUGCUGGUAGUUUUAAUGCAGAUUGCUACAAGAUUCCAUUAACUCACUGGUGAUGAUCUGAUUUUUUUUUUUUUUUUUUUUUUUACAGUGUAAAUGUGUUUUUCUUCUACUUUCUGAUUGGUAUGAAAACAAAUGAAUGUGUGCAGAUGCUGCUUUUAUGCCUGAAAUUAGCAGAACACCAUGCUUUCUCUCUCUUCAUUAUCAUUUUGAAUGAUCGCAACUUUCUAGAUUCAAGAAUAAGAAUGGAUUAAUUUGUAAAAUCAGAGACCCAAUCUCACAAAUACUUUAGGUGCUCCUGCUUCUUUGUUCAUGGCACAGAAGUUGAAACAUACAAAUUUUGAUAAAGGUUUAGUAACAAAUUGGGAGUAAUCUAUUGUCUGUUUCUACAAAGGAAAAAAAAGAAAACAUUGAAACACAUUAAAAAUAUGAAACUCUUAGAAGGUCAUUUAUAACAUUCAAUGCAGUCUUAAGUAGCUGACAAUGAUCGUAUGCUUACUCCUCUGAAAGCAAGAGAUGACUACAUCUUUCAGGCAAUUAAUUCAAAGACUGCACCUUAAAUAUAUGACUGUUUGAAAAAGCUUUCAGUACCGCUAAGUAUCCCGAGAAUAUAGCAUGUUAUAAUGUGUGCAAAACAUGGAGUGAUUUGACAUCUAACUUUGGAACCUGAACCUCCGAGCUUAGCCUUGCAAUUUCAGUCUCUACUGCCCUGUUUUCCUACAGUGACAUAAACAGAAGAUGGCACUGUUUAUUCAUUUGUCUGAAAAUAAAAAGAUAUUUUCUGUUCUUUCAAGGAAAAAAAUAAAUGCUAGUAUACAAGUAAAACAGAAAAGAAAAUGGAGGUGAUCAUGCUUUUGGAGAAAAUGAUACUUUCUGCUGAGUCAGGACACAUGCUUAUAAAAGCUGCAGUAUUGUCAUGGCUCAGAGAAGAGCUACCUUUUGGUGUGACAGCUGUAUAAAGUUCAAAGCCUCUGUGAAACAGGGGGCAUGAAAUACAACAUACAGAGAUCAAACACCAGAGGAGGAGAGGGCAUGUAUUAAAGUUGUUUUUUGUGUACUGAAAAAAAAUACUAUGAGAACAUAAUUAUACAAAAAGAUGCAUUUGAUAAUUGGCUUGUUAAUACAGGUAUCAUCCAACACAGGGAGUUUUCUGUGGAGAUGCAUGAUUGUUUUUUUCACCAAGGGAAGCCUUGGAAUUAACAAAGGGGCUCCUGAGCUCCUGGUCUUAUGAACAUCCACAUACAUGUUUUCAAGUCCUUUAUUUUAUGAGGGAACAUAAAAGGCCCAGAAUGUCAUUUUUGCAAAAUCAGAGUCUUGAUCUACAAAUCAUCCAAUUCUUGGAAAAAAAUAAAAAGAACGUAUUAAGACAGGGGCUGUAUUAAUAGUUCACUGCAAAUAUGUGUUAAUAUAGUACUACUUUAUUUCAGUUAAUGAAAAUUACUGUUAUCUAAUCUGAAAGUUUAUUUUGAGAAAGCAGUAGAUACUUUAUAGAUAAGCCUACACUCUUACACUUAAAUUAUUAGCUGUAGUUGGAGUUAAACUGAAUAUCUCCAAGAGCUUCUAACUAACACAAAGGUGGGUGCAAAGGGUGUUAUCUUCCCAUUAGCUCCAGUACUCCCUUUAUAGGUGGCUGUUGGCAAAGAUAAGAAGACUGUCCACAGGAAAGCAGGAAAUUUAGUUGCCAUUUGGGAAGUUUUACUGCUAAUUUUUCUUUUGCUUUUUUAUUUGUUUCUUGAUAUAAAUCCUAACUCUUGAGGACUGGCACUUUUGAGUAUUGCUGUGAUUUCCUGCUCAGUUGUUUCACUUAUCAAAUAGCUUCUCUUGUGUGACUAGAGCUAUUGAUCUGAAUAAAGUAAAGCAGGAUUUGGCCUAGCAUGAAAGUAAUCUUCAGGAUGUGAAUAAUACGAGCAAGCUGGAUUUUAAUUUGGAGAAGACUAUAAACUAUUUUUAUUUUCAAGCAAACAUAGCCAGCACAAUUCUAGAAAAGAAAUGCUAUUAAAUGUUUGCCAAAAUAAAUGGGGUUCUGUGAUCUUUUGGUAAUUGCUUAUGGUAUUGAAUAAGAUGUCCUGUUUUUCUUUGGAGAGUUUUCAACAGUUCAUUAAAAGAGCAGCACAGAGAGUUUGUGAUAGUCUAUGAAAAUGCUUGUAAUUCACUCCCUUUUCAGACUGAGAUAAAUCUGAAAUACGCCAUGCUAGUGAAGAGCUGAUUGAAGCUGAGCAUAUUUUCCUCUCUUUUGGUUACCACUGAAAGAAUGAGUGGAUUUUAUGGAACAAAUGUGUUUUCAGAAUUGAAGUGUGGGCUUUGGUGUAUUACAUGUCUCAAGGAACUUGAAAUGGUACUGUAAACUAUGUUCAUUUGCCCUUGUCCUUCAUUUCUUCUUAGUAGGAUUUUUCUUAUCCAUGACAGCAGUGUUAUUUAUAAAAAGGUGUUAUGGAAAGGAAAUAACUUAUGAGAAACCAAACAAGCAAAAACUCAUUUUGCAAGUGCAAGCUGAGAAAGAUACUCAUGCUAGGAGUACUUCCCAUAAGACUGUGUGACAGAAAAGGGCUUUAACCUUGUAACAAAUUAAUGUUUAUACUUGAAAGUCUUCCUGUUUUAUGUUUAAUUAUAACCUUAGAUCUGUAUUUUAGGUUUCUAAAUUUUUGGAGGCAAGCCAGUUUUGCUUUUAUUACUAAGCUUUCAAAGAGAUAGUUGGUUAAAUCUUAGGUAAGAAGACUGAAUUAUACAAUAUUAUAUAGAAAUCACUUUUUUAAUUUGAAAUCAAUAUUGCAAGAGGAGGAUUUUGAAGGAACAUUUGCCACACAAACCUAAGUUUCUUUUGAAAUUCUUGAUCCCAACUACCAACCCCCAGAGGUAACGUUCUACCUUUCCUAAUUUAUGUCAUAUUUUGCUGGAAUAAGCGAAUUGCCUUCUGUUUUCUUCUUUGUAAUCACUAGAAAAUUGAACUUUGAAUGUUAUGACCUAUUUCAAUGUAGCUGAUUGCUUGGCACAGAAUUCUAGUACAGUCUAUUGUGUACUUGUGAGAUAUACUUUUUGGGAAAGGAAUACAUAUGUGAAUCAAUGUAUUUCAUGGAUUUCCUGUCUAAUUUCAGAAUGUAUUAUAAUAUUCUCCUUGUAACAAAAGGCUAAUAGUCUAAAUGAAACUGCUUAAGUCAGUCCAGCCAGCAUGCUGUGCACCAACACCUUUGCUCUACAGAAAAUAUCAGAGAAGUUCAUCCAUUUGCCUACGCCUCACUGUUAAUACAUUAUGGCUAUUACCUAAGGUAUUGCUAUAGGAACUUCCAGAAUCUGUUUAUCUUGAAUACACAAUGGGUUUUUUAAGAUUUUUUUAAACACUCUUAGAAUCCUAUCAUUUUUGGAUUCGGAUCACCUUUAUCCUUGCAAGACAUACGUGCUUAUGGGUCACAUUUACAUUUGCAUGUGUGGGCUGAGAUGUAACUUGGUAUUACAUAGCUGCACACUCCUGAGUUACAAAAUAAGGCCAUGUGCAGGUCCUAAAGGUAAUGUUUCUUUUAGAAAUACGUACUUAUUUUCCCUUCUUUGCAUAGGGAAGGGCAUGGUCAAACUGGACUCUUACAAUAUAGUUACUGUGGCAGAAUUUAUCUUUCCACUGUUCUCCAUAAGCUUUUUAACGUCUUUGUCCUUUCAGAAGGACUCUGAAAUAUGGAGAGAGAAAAACAAAAACAAAUGAAAACAAAUCAGCAAACUUUCCAGCAGCUCCUGUAAGGAUUUCAUCAGCUUUUACAACCAGCUUUUAGCUCCUCUCUACACUUCGCUCACCUGGGACUUAGAAGAACUACAGUAGCUAGGAUUUUCCCUGUCCAAGCUGUGUAAGACUCUAGCAUUGUGUAUCCAGGCCACUUGGAUUUAUUUGCUCAUGUUUUUAAGAGGAAGAAAAUGCCUAAAUGACAUCUAAGGAUACAUUUUAUUUAAAACAAACAAAAAUCACAGCAAUAAUCUUGUUGCAUCCAGAAUGAACUUCAAAACCUUCCUGUGUUAUCAUUUGCCCUAUGUAAUUGCAAUGUCUGUUUUUACUGCACUUUUCUACUCUGAUGCACAACAAAAUUAAUUUCACAAUGACAAAGGAAAUCUUGGCCCUGAGCUUGCUUAAAGCCAUCAUGAGUCUGAAUCCUGCAGGAGUUUCUGCCAGAGGGGCUGAGAGUUGCAAUGAAUGGACUACUUAACCUGUGAACUAGUAGAAAAUAAUGUUGACCUCCAGCUAUCCAAGCAGUAUAUUUACUAAAUAAAUAAACUGUAAGGAAUGCCCUUCUAUUCCAGGGUCAGGUCAAUGUACAAUUUUAGGUGAAAAAUAAUGCUAUUUAUGGUUUUCUCCCUGUAAGUAAAUCUAAAUUUACUAUGUAGCUAGAUGGAAUUCAUUCAGUAAGUGUAUCAAAGACUGUAACUAACGAUUAUUUUAUGAAUUUCUUUCUGUGGUUGUACAAUCAACAAAUAUACAAUCAGCAAAGUGGCAUGGUUAGGCUGGUAUUUUACAGGAUUGUCACGGUGGAAAGGGAUAAUUGAAAAUAAAUGAAAAUGCUCACCCAUAUCCUAGGCUUGCAGAAAAUCACCAAAAGGAGCAAUCUCCAGAAAGAGAUGCUUCCCCCAUGACAGCCAGCCCUCAGAAGGGGUCUAGGAGAGGUGGAACCAGGCUCCAUCCCUUCCAGCCAUACAGUUGAAUUGCUUUCACCUGUUCUCCCACAGCUAACUCAGUGCUUGCCUCAGGUGAUCAGUCAGUGGUUCAGGCUGUAAUUCAACAUUCCCACACACUCCACUACUUCACAGUAUGAACCAACGAUCAGGUUAGCUAGAGGGUGAGCCUUCUCUAAUACAGAGAUCCAAUACAUCAUGAUGCUUAUACAAUUGCUUGUUGCGAUGCAUAUUGACACAAUUUAAGACAAGUGAUGAUCAGCAUAUGGUGAAAGUUCAUGCUCUUUUAUGGGCCAGUACUUGGUGGUGUUACUGGAGGCACGUAGUCGUGUGGUACAGGAUCAUCCUAUGCUCCAUCAGUCCCAUGUAGACCGUCACUGGGUGUCACACAUGAUCUGACAGCAACACUAGAAUGCUUUGAUGGCAUUUUGUUCCAGUGAUCCUAGAGGCUCAAAGACUCACAGGGAGUAAAAUAGAUAUUUCAGAGGUACAAGGAGGGAAAGGUCUGACUUCCAGGGCAGGAUACAGGCCAUACAUAUAUCCUGGGUCAACACUUCAACUUGUACCAUGGUAUGUCCCAGCCACCUGUACCAUACCUUUUGGCCAGAUGUCUGUGGCUGCAUAACUAUAUCAGGUACUAAAGGGGGUAUUCUGAUCUGCCCUAGGGACACAAUAGCAGUCCCUUUAGCGAUGAAGAUUGUAGUGUUGACCACAAUAUCUGUAGGCUAUAUACCUAUUAUUGAAGGGACUACUGAUCCUCCCAGCUUCAGUAAUCUCCUCCAAAGCACAAGUAUGCCAUACCAUUUGGUCCUACCUCCACCUUCCAAGGCCAUUUUAUUCUAUGGGGGCCCAGAUCUAAAUUCUCAGGGGCAAAGAGCAGAUUAUUUUCAUUGCUAGUCUAGGGUCUUACUUGAUUACUGGUACCCAUAAUUUGGACUCUAAGUGGAGAGAUCCAUGUUGCCUGUAGCAUUUUCAAGGUACUGGAUCUGCUAUCUCUAGGUCUUUCAUUCAGGUCCCUCAGGGUUUCAUAGAGUCUCUUCAUCCACCCCUGCAGGAAAAGAGAGUCUGCCUUCAGGGCUACUAUAAGAAUACUGUUAUGAUGUUCAACGAGGCCUGCCCCCAUUGGAUUAUAGGGCAGGUGAAAGCUUUGAGUGAACCCUCCAGAAAGAAAUCUUUCCCCAGUGGCAGUCAGCCCUUAAAUGGGGUCUAGGAGAGGUGGAGCUAUGCUCCACCCCUUCCAGUCACACAGUUGAAUUACCUUCACCCACACUCCCAUGGCUGACUCAGUGCUUGCCUCAGGUGAUCAAUCAGUGAUUCACAGGUGAUCCAUCACCUUUUCUUAGUUUCACUGGUUGUUAAAAAGGGAGCAGAUCAGGCUGGCUUGCUCAUCUCCAGCACCUUUUCUGAUGUGAUGAGUCUUUCCUCUUCAGUCUGCAGAGCAACAGCAGGCUUUGGAGGCAGUCUCCCUCUAGCUUGCCAUGGUUAUUUAGAAUUACAGGCACACAUCUGGGAACAUUUCUGCCACCUCAGGCAAGUCUGGUAAUGUCAUUCAGAUAAGGGAUUGGAAUAUGGGUCUGAGUUUGCACCUGACUUGGCAUUAUGCUUUAGUGUUCCUAGUAACUACUACAAACUUAUUUGAACUUUCUUCCUAAACAAGUUUUUAGCUAGGCAGAUGCCCCCACCAACUCUCCUGUAUUCUACUGUGCAUUCCUUGAGACAUACAGGCUUCAGCAUAACACUUAAAGAAAAAAAAUCCCUGCCAACUCUGACUGCAAAUUCACAUUACAUUAAAAGCAGAAUGGAAGAUUAGGGUACUAAAAAAAAACUUUACAAGCUAAACAAACCCUUACAGUAAAUAGGUUUGCAAAGAAAUCUGUCUUUUUCUUCUUAAAUUGCUUCAAAGAUGAAAGUUCCUUGUUGAUGGUUUAAGGGCUGGUCCAGCCCGGUUCCAUGACUAGUGGGGCGGAGGGCUUUCGCAAAAUCCGCACCUCUAGGAAGGGAAACAGGGGACCCCAAAAUAAUUUAAAAACAGCGGCAACGAUCUGAAGAGAAACAAACUAAUUUACUAAAUAUAGUAUCGGAAUGUAAGAUAACACACUAUAAUACAAUGUAAAUCAACAAUAAUUGAGAGAAAGAUUGUCCAAGAGCCAAAGGACUUACACUAAUACUGAAGCCUUGUGCGCAGUCGGAAGCAACAGUAGCGAGCUGAUCCGGUAGGGAACAUGGCAAGACGAGAAGAAGGCUGAGUCAGAUGACCUGCACCCUUAUAUCUAUUCCCUUGAGCAGGAAUGAUAACAGUAGUCGAAAAGACUCUUGGGGAACGCAGUUCUUCUUCUCUUCCAGACAGGUACAUGAAACUAAAGCAUUUGCUCUUUAACUCCCAGUACAAUGCAUGAUAUUGUGAUGUGCAAUACUGAUAACCAGAAAUCAUAAAACCAUGACAUUCCUGUUUUAAGAUUCUGGAAAAAUUAUCUUUAUAUAAAAUAAAUAAAUAAAUCUGGAACUGAGUUCAAGUAGAAGGAAUAGAAUGCAUGAUUCCAAAUUUUACGUGUGUCAUACAAUAGGUUUGUAUAUAUUGCAUAGAAUUCUGUAAAGUAGCAAGACUUGAUUAAGGGGAAACAUACACAGCAACUUUCUGAAGACUUGGCUUCUAAUCGUACAGCUUCUAAUCAUACUGUUAUCAACGGCUUUUCUAACAAUGGGUGCCAUCUUUUUAUAGAGCUGAUCAAUAACGAAAGAAAAUAUCCUACAUUUUCUUCUAAAAAGAAGUAACACAUUAGCUUGCUUUGUCACGGCCUCCUUAUAUUGGUAAAAAUGUCUGAGAAAUUAUACAGGGUCCAUUAUUUGGAAAAUCCAUUGGGAAAAUGGUAGCAAAGAUGAAAUAAUAAUGAAUAAAGUUACAAUAUCUAAAAUUGGGAAACAGAAACUAUGUCCUGUUGUUAAGAGAAUUAGUGUCUUCUAUGAAUACAGAGUCUGAAUAUGUUUAGUGUUGCUAUGUGAAACAAAACUUCAGGAUGUAAAUUUUUUCUCUCUCUUUAUUUGAGGGUAAAACCAGGAUUUCUUGUUGUCUGUGACAUUUUUAACUUCUACCAUCAAAUUUUGUAGAGUUCUCCCAAGAUUAUGAAUUUUCAUUUUCCUCAUGUGCCUGUAUCAAGGAGCCAGGAUGUCUUCAUGCCAUGAGGUGAAAGACAAAGUCCUCUAAAAUUUAUUCUUUGAGAAUCCAUCUACAGUUAAGGUUUGAGACAGUCUCCAGCCCAGAGAUUCAGGGCAUCUUUGUGUAUUCUGUUCAAAAUAAUCAAUACUACAGUUUAAAGGAGACAAGGGAGAGACCAAGUGAUGAUCAACAGCAAAAUCCAUGACCAGGGCUCUCUAUAAAGAGAGAAGACCUUGGCUGUGCAUGACUUCCCAGAUCAUGACAAAAGAUAAUCGAAGUGGCAGCAAAAGCAAAACUCCUUUGAACAGUCUUAGAGCAGAAGGAGGAUGCUACUAGUUUCAGCACAAUUUGGUGUCAUUACUCAUCUCUCUUUCUGUGGGAAUGUCUGGUCUGCCCACAGCUGUGCUAUAAAUCAUAAUUAGUAUCAUGAAUAUUUUUCCUUCACAGCAGUUAAUGAACUAAAUAUCAGAAGUUUAUUACUUUAUUAGAGAACUGUUACAACCUUUGAACACAAUAUGUUGUUUAAAGCAAAAAUGAUGAUGAAUAUUCACUAGGAACUUUUUUAUUUUAUUUCAUUUCACUUUUUUUUUCCUUUCUAUACACAAGAUGUAGCCACUUUUAUUUGUCUGAAGGUGACAAAAGAAGGAAACACUACACAGGUCAGUGGAGUUAAUGUGGGAUUGAACUGAAUGGAGAACUAGGUUUGUAAUGUAGCCCUGAGUCUGCCUUUUCAUUGUUCUUAUGCUGGUAUCACUACUGAUUCAGAGUUGUUUUUCAUUGGUAUUAUUCAAACAGGUAGCACCUCCACACAGAAAUUACCCUGGGAUCCUGGUGGAUGGCAAAUUUAAUGUGAACUGUAGAGAACUCUUCUGGUGAGAAAGACCUGCAGUAUACUGACUUGCAUUAGUUCAGUGCAGACAGCAGAUCAAGUGAAAUAAUUGCUCCCCUUCAGUCAAAUGCUGUGAUGCUGUAUCUGAAUGAGUUCCGUCGUGGUCUUCACAGCCAAGAAAGGUAGUGACAAACUGCAGAGAGCCCAGGGAAGGGUUAUUAAAUAUAAACCAACCAUUUGGUUAGUGGUGUACUUCCAUGGGGACAGGCUGAGAGAACUUGAUUUGCUUAGCCUGCAAAGGAGAAGGAAAAUUCUAAUUGCUAUUGUUAACAGUGUUUUUGGCUAGAGAGGAGACAGAUAGCAUCAGACUCUUAGAAGUAAAAUGCAAGAUGACAGAAGGCAGUGUUCAUAGGUUGCUACAGGGGAAAUUCUGAAUGGAAACAAGGAAGAAAAUCUUCACAAUAAAGACAUCUGAAUGCUAGUACUACUUGUGCAGGGGGGAUGAGGCAUCUCUACUCUUGACAAAACUCAGAACUUUUCUGAACCCAGAUCUGAGACUCCUGGUCAAACUUUGAAGUUUGCCCUGCUUUGAGCAGGCGAUUAAACUGAGUGACCUACAGAGAAGCCUCCCAGCUGAAGCAUUCUAGGAUCCUUUGAUCCUGCACAUACUAGCCAUUGGCUGGAGGAAAAAAAUAAGACAUUUUCUGGCAUAUACAUACCAAAGUUUUAGUCAGCUCAGUUGUGCUGUGACCAAAUUUGGUCAUUGCCUACUAAACUAAUCUUGGUGUUUGAUAGUAUCUCUAAAUAAUUUCUGGUACAUAGCAGAGAGCAUAUUUUUAGGUUUCUACAACAAAUAAGGAGCAGGGUGUUUUCUAAUUAUACAGAAGGAACUAUGGUCUACUAUGUAUUAAAGGGGACAUCAGCUUGUGAAAAGUCCUCCCAGCUUGACAUAAGCAUUUCUGUUUUCCUCCCUGUGUGUUAUACGUAAUCACAUCUCUAGAAUUUUGACUUAAUGUGGUAUGGAUAACUUCACAUCUCAGCUGUUGAGACUGAUUAAUACAUACAUUCAGCAGUGUUUGAUAAAGAUUUCUUCCUGCUGUAAAUAUCCACUAUAUAUAAAUAUCCACUGUCCAAAUGAAUACUGUUGAAGUAAUAAUUCAUUUCAAAGUAGACUAAGCAAAUCUGAGAUUAUAUUGAAUUGUCUCCAGACUCCAUUAAAAGCAUAGUACAUGGUAUCAUUUUCACUCAGAGAGCCACCAGGAAAUGAAGCAAUCUGCUAAGCUCUCAUUUCUCAUUUUUUAGCAACUGUGUUUAUGUGGAUUUUUUGGGAAAUAAUAGGAAUUAAGAGACAAGGUUUGCAUUCUCAGCACGUGAUCCUGAGUAGGUCAUUUUUUUAAUCUCCAACUCACUCUGUAGAGAAGGUAUUUACAUGUAUUUUUAUUUUAUGACAUUCUUGAUUUAUGGAUUGAGAAGAAUGCAGUGUAUGAGUUAGAUCUUAUAAAAACAACAUUAGAAUUGACAUUGAAAAUGCAGCCAUUUAUGAAUUCAGUAUUUAGUCAAUACUGCAUAUGGAAUUUAACAGCAACAAUAUCCAGCCAGAUGUGAUUUCCUCUCAUUUUAUAUUGCAGGGUAGGGGGAAAUGUAUGCAACUAAAACCAAACCUUGUAAACAGCAACAGCAGCAACAACAGACUAAUCUGUGGAAAGUUAAUUGAACCAUUCCAAGCACUUUAGGAUGUCAAAAUCUUUAAAGCUGAAAAAUAGGCAUUCCCCUCAAAUGGUCUCUCUCCUGCUGGUAUAGAACACCUUGAUGUAGAGCUGUAGGGUUUAUUUGUGCCACAGAGCAUGUCUGUUACUUUGUAUGUGCUGCUGAAAAAUGUGUUAGUAUUUAAAUAUUAGCACAAAAGAAUGUUAUAUUUCCUGCUCUAACAAGAUCAGUUUCGAUAAAACCAAAUUUAUUCAUUCUUUUCUAUCCAUAUCUUGCAGCAUCAUUUUGCACUUCUCUUAGAGACUACACUACAGCAAUGUGAUCUGUGGUAGUCCUGUGAGCCCCAGGACCUUGAGUUACUUCCUUGCUGAAUCCAGUGGCAGCCUUGACAAGCAAUCUCGUUAGCAUUAGCCUACAAUUAAAUUGAAAGGAAAGUAGCUAAGCAUGCUUUUAUCUUUCUAAGACUUAUUAAAUUUCUUUCUAAACAGAAACUAUGAAUAAAGGCCUUGUGAUGCUAGCCAGCAGACAAUUCCUCAGAUGUAUAAGUUGAUAUAGACUAGUUAUUAAUGAAAGGAUAGAAAAGAUUAUGUUAAUUACCACCUGGCAUCGUGAGACUCUAAUCGCAUUCAGAAUAUCAAUGAAGCCAAUGAUUUUGAUUGUCAGAGCAAUAAUUUUGAGGGCUUGGUCCUUGGAGAUAUCAUAGUGAAGUCCUCUUCAGAAAAGUCUCAUUUCAUUUUAAUGAAAAUAUUCAAUAUUUGAGCUGAGAUGCAGAUUAAAGUCCAAGCUGAAUGUGAAAUCUAACUCAAAAAGCACUUUAAAAGCCAUCAGAUAAUUGCAAAUUUGGAUAAGAAACCUAGAGACUAGCCCAACAAUCAACUUAGCUGUUUCUUUUAGCUCAACAAAAGCCAGUGACUUCUAAAUAACAAUCAAACAGGUAAAAUUAAUAAUUGAGUCAGCUCCAAAUCUCAGUUCUGACAGCUUAAUUUGAGUAAAAGCUUUAUGUGAACUUUUUUAUCUAAUAGAAAAUGUGGUCUAUUUUAAUACUCAGAUCUAAACUUCUACAGUUAAAAAAAACGGGAAAAAAAUGUAAUUCAUCUCACCAUGUAAAAGCUACCCGUUGCUGCCCUGUAUUAUUCUUAUGAUAACUUGAAUUUUUUGUUAGCUGCUGUCUGUGUCUGAGGUUAUUUUCUAAGAAGCUUUGCCAAUGCUUAAUUUCUACUUACAGGAUGAGUGUAGCAGAAAAUAAUGCAAAUGCCAAAGCAGUUCAAAACAAACACAGCUUUUCUUCUGCCAUACAAACCCAUUACAGUGUUUACCAGUCCACCUGUGGGGUUCUGUUCAUGCUAUUUGUUAAUCAGCCCACGCUUCCAAACCCAAAAGUGAAUUUUAAUCUUUUUUAGAGCUGUGUUUUCUUGGAAUUAUUAUCUGCACCCCCUCAAAAACAAAACAAACCCACAAAAAUGUGUGAUUCUUGAUGUAGAGGAUUUCAGCUACUGAGGGAAUGUUAGUUGGCUUACCUAAGGUACUUUCUGUGGAAAGCCUUGAUGUUGUCCAUUUUGAGACCACCAAUUGAGUAGGUCAGUAUUCUCAAAUUAAAAUAAUUGUUAGAAAAAAAUAAUAAUUGAGGAACACUCCUGGCAUGUUACUGUGCCUAAACUGAACAACACUUCUAUAUCAUUUGAGGGUAGCCAUUUUGUUUUCUAAAUGUAAAUAUCAAGCACCAUGCUGUCUGCUUCCUCUGAAGGACCUAAGCACUGUAAACGUUUAGUGAUUGUAAAGGAAAACAGGGAAAUAUCAUCAGGGGAACUGCUGAUACCUGUAGCAUACGCUGAAGAUAUAAUGGCAAAGGAAACACUGAGUUAUUUUUGAGAUUGUUUUGGGUAGUUUGUAAGCCAAAGGUGAUACAAGAACUGUUAUAAAUAAAUUUGAAUUACUUUGUAGCAAGCAGUAUUCUCAAUUUAUUAUUGAAGAUUUUAUAUAAUGUAAAUUUUCACAAGAAUGAAUAAAAUAGAGUUUUAUUUAUUUACAGUAACAUAACUCCAUUGCCAGUGGACUUCUAAUAUCCAUCUGGAGGUAGGAUAGUUGGGUGUUUUGAUAUUUACAGACAUGAAUAGGUUUCUAAAUUACAUGUGGUGAAUAGAUCUUCUCAGCAUUGUUUGAGCUUGCACAGGCUUUCUCCUUUGAUCCUACAUAUUAGUCUGUUUAGUUCUAGGUUUAGGAGCUCAGAAGAUUCAAAGUGUUGAGGAGAAGGUAUUAAGCUCACGUAUUUAUUAGAUGCCCAAGAGUGAGUUUGUGGAGGGAACUGUAGGGUCAAAGUAACCUCUAUACAGUUUAUCUGUGUACUGUGUAUUAUUCAGGUUACUCACAGAUGAAAAUAAUAGUAAUAAUAAUGGGAAUAUUUGCAUAGAACCAGAAGACAAAUGGAACACAGUGUUGUUAGAGAUUGUCUUGUAGCUGUUAUGUAAACCAAAG
ensembl:lncRNA